GAGUUUGAUYCUGGCUCAGGAUGAACGCUAGCGGCAGGCUUAACACAUGCAAGUCGAGGGGCAUCGAGAUGUAGCAAUACAUUGUCGGCGACCGGCGGACGGGUGCGUAACGCGUGAGCAACCUUCCCGUAUCAGGGGGAUAACCGAUGGAAACGUCGCCUAAUACCCCAUAACAACACAUGUCUCCUGACGUGUGUUUGAAAGAUUCGUCAGAUACGGCUGGGCUCGCGUGACAUUAGCUGGUUGGUGAGGUAACGGCUCACCAAGGCAACGAUGUCUAGGGGUUCUGAGAGGAAGAUCCCCCACACUGGAACUGAGACACGGUCCAGACUCCUACGGGAGGCAGCAGUGAGGAAUAUUGGUCAAUGGGCGCAAGCCUGAACCAGCCAUGCCGCGUGAAGGAAUAAGGUCCUAUGGAUCGUAAACUUCUUUUGAGCGGGAGCAAUAAGGUCUACGUGUAGACCGAUGAGAGUACCGUUCGAAUAAGCAUCGGCUAACUCCGUGCCAGCAGCCGCGGUAAUACGGAGGAUGCAAGCGUUAUCCGGAUUUAUUGGGUUUAAAGGGUGCGUAGGCCGUUGUGCAAGUCAGAGGUGAAAUUGUGGGGCUCAACUCCGCCGCUGCCUUUGAAACUGCAUGACUUGAAUCCUGUUGCCGUGGGAGGAAUGAGUAGUGUAGCGGUGAAAUGCAUAGAUAUUACUCAGAACCCCAAUUGCGAAGGCAUCUCACGAAGCAGGUAUUGACGCUGAGGCACGAAAGCGUGGGUAUCAAACAGGAUUAGAUACCCUGGUAGUCCACGCUGUAAACGAUGAUAACUAACCGCCGGCGAUAUAGUGUCGGUGGCCAAGCGAAAGCGAUAAGUUAUCCACCUGGGGAGUACGACCGCAAGGUUGAAACUCAAAGGAAUUGACGGGGGCCCGCACAAGCGGAGGAACAUGUGGUUUAAUUCGAUGAUACGCGAGGAACCUUACCCGGGCUCGAACGGCAGAGGAAGAGACUCAGAGAUGAAGACGUCCCUUCGGGGACCUCUGUCGAGGUGCUGCAUGGUUGUCGUCAGCUCGUGUCGUGAGAUGUUGGCUCAAGUGCCAUAACGAGCGCAACCCUUGUCAUUAGUUGCCAUCAGGUUAAGCUGGGGACUCUAAUGAGACUGCCACCGCAAGGUGUAAGGAAGGAGUGGAUGACGUCAAAUCAGCACGGCCCUUACGUCCGGGGCGACACACGUGUUACAAUGGUGACUACAGAUGGAAGCCAGCCGGCGACGGCGCGCAAAUCUUAAAAAGUCAUCUCAGUUCGGACUGGAGUCUGCAACCCGACUCCACGAAGCUGGAUUCGCUAGUAAUCGCGCAUCAGCCAUGGUGCGGUGAAUACGUUCCCGGGCCUUGUACACACCGCCCGUCAAGCCAUGGGAGUUGGUGGUACCUAAAGAGCGUAACCGAUGAGGGGCGUUUAAGGGUAAUGCUAAUAACUGGGGCUAAGUCGUAACAAGGUAGCCGUACCGGAAGGUGCGGUUGGAUCACCUCCUUCRAUCAAACUC
rnacentral:rRNA from 1 species